AUUGAACGCUGGCGGCAUGCUUUACACAUGCAAGUCGAACGGUAACAGGCCUUCGGGUGCUGACGAGUGGCGAACGGGUGAGUAAUGCAUCGGAACGUACCCAGAGGUGGGGGAUAACGCAGCGAAAGCUGUGCUAAUACCGCAUGUGAUCUGAGGAUGAAAGCGGGGGACCGAGCAGCAAUGUUUGGCCUCGCGCCUUUGGAGCGGCCGAUGUCGGAUUAGCUAGUUGGUGGGGUAAAGGCCUACCAAGGCGACGAUCCGUAGCUGGUCUGAGAGGACGACCAGCCACACUGGGACUGAGACACGGCCCAGACUCCUACGGGAGGCAGCAGUGGGGAAUUUUGGACAAUGGGCGCAAGCCUGAUCCAGCAAUGCCGCGUGCGGGAAGAAGGCCUUCGGGUUGUAAACCGCUUUUGGCAGGAACGAAACGGUGUCCGCUAAUACCGGGCGCUAAUGACGGUACCUGCAGAAUAAGCACUGGCUAACUACGUG
rnacentral:rRNA from 1 species